rnacentral:rRNA from 1 species
GAGGAAAGAGGGAGGAGGGCAGAAUACAUGCAAGUCGAGCGAACAGACGGGGAGCUUGCUCCUCUGACGUUAGCGGCGGACGGGUGAGUAACACGUGGAUAACCUACCUAUAAGACUGGGAUAACUUCGGGAAACCGGAGCUAAUACCGGAUAAUAUAUUGAACCGCAUGGUUCAAUAGUGAAAGACGGUUUUGCUGUCACUUAUAGAUGGAUCCGCGCCGCAUUAGCUAGUUGGUAAGGUAACGGCUUACCAAGGCAACGAUGCGUAGCCGACCUGAGAGGGUGAUCGGCCACACUGGAACUGAGACACGGUCCAGACUCCUACGGGAGGCAGCAGUAGGGAAUCUUCCGCAAUGGGCGAAAGCCUGACGGAGCAACGCCGCGUGAGUGAUGAAGGUCUUCGGAUCGUAAAACUCUGUUAUUAGGGAAGAACAAAUGUGUAAGUAACUAUGCACGUCUUGACGGUACCUAAUCAGAAAGCCACGGCUAACUACGUG